UUUGAUUGCAAGACUUGUACUGAACAGCUUCCUGCACAAUGCUAAGUGGGGGGUGCAGGCCGUUGAAGGAGCGGGAGCAACGCAGAGGUGAUGAAGGGCAAUCUUCGCAUGCCCCUAACUUCGCAUCUACUGAGUGCAUUGAAGUACUUUUUGUAGCAAGAUAUUUUUAAAAUAGUCACCUUUUUAUGUGAAAUUAUUUGCGUGGCUUCAGUAAAAAGUGUUCCUGGGCCCCUUUAAAGAAGAAAAUGUCAACUGAGCUGUAAUGAUAAAUUAACUGCCUAUACCAAAAAAGCCACUCUCAUUAUGGGAGGAGGCUUGGUAAACUAGAAAAGAUAAGUGGCAGUGCGACUUUGAAGUUCUCACACUAGCAUGUCGUCAUGUCAUGGAUUUGGAUGGUGUCUGCUCAUGCCUAGUUGAUUUGUUAUUGGUAGACUACAUUGUAUUCUAAAAAACCUAAGCACUGACUUUAGCAAGUUUUGAGAACAUUUACUGAGCCGUCAUAACUCAAUUACAAGAAAAUGGUUGGAAAUCCUUGAUGUCAUGCUGACAUGCCGGCGUUAGGAUUUCAGCAGAAAAUUCUUAAAAUAGAACUUUUGACAUUCAUUUUCUUUUCUCAUAGUCAACCUCUUGCCGAGAGACUAACAAAAUUAGCGUUAUAAAUUAUAUGUUAUCAGUCUAAGCCGAUUUUUUUCUUUUUAGUGUCCCUUUAAGAAUGGCUGCAACAUGGUAAUCUAUGUUUACUGAGCAGGUUUUCUUUACUUUCAUGCAAGGCAUUCAGCUAUGUUGUCGUUGCAUUGUGAU